rnacentral:rRNA from 1 species
AUAAUCAUUUGCCUUUUAAUUGAAGGCUAGAAUGAAAGUACUGACGGGGGGCCGCUGACUCGACCUUGCUGGACGAACUUGACUGCGGGGUUAAAAUGCCCCGAUGCCCUAGAAGGACGACAAGACCCUAUAAAACUUUACUACCCCCGGUUACCACUCUAAGGUCACCUGCAAAACCGAAUGUAGUUUAGCUGGGGCGGCCAACCCCCUCCGGGACCGUAAUCAAACACCGUGCGUGAUCCCUUGAACAUUUUUAAAUAGGAAGACCAAGUUACUUUAGGGAUAACAGCGCAAUAAUUUCGAAGAGCCCCUAUCGAUGAAGUUGUUUGCGACCUCGAUGUUGAAUUGGAGCCCCCCCCGGAGCAGCCCCCGGGGAAAGGAGGUCUGUUCGACCUUUAAUCCUCCACGUGAU